UUGUCUCUUAAGUGGGGUCGGAAUAAGGUUGUGGCUAGGAAGAUCCUGACAACCCAGGGCCAGUGAGUGUCUCGGAAGCCUGUGAGGGGCGGAGACCCGGCCCGGGGAGGUGGAGAAGCUCGCCGGCCGCGGAAGACUAGGGGUGAGGCUGCUGCGAGGAAGACCCGGUCAGCUGUCCCUUCCCCCAUCGGUCCUCUUAGGGGAAGUGGAGAUGUGGGCCUCGGAGCUGCGUGGCCCGGGCUGUGCGGAUUCCCUAAACGCCGCACUUGCGCACAGCCCCUUACGUAACCGUCAGUGCCGGGGAUUCCCUGGAGGGGGUCAUUCUAUUCAACCAUUAUACACACCCCGGGCUCCUGCCGCCGCGCCGCCGCCGCCUCACAAAAUGGCGGCGCCCAUAGAGGAGACCGCGGCCGCCUCCCCGGCCCCAUUUUGUGGGAGGCGAGAGAUCUGUCAACAUGGAAAACCUCUGCUGAGGAUGCAUCCGAGUUUGGAAACCCCACUUAAGGGAUGGAGCCUGGGGGAUCACAUUAAACGGAAAAUGCCAACGACUUCUACCACCUCUACGCGUUUUUAGUUUUUCAUUUUCUCGAAGGAAGCGCCAGAAGCCUGUGGAGUAAUUGUAACUAGAGGGAGAACGGAAAGCUGAGGUGACUGCUCCGGGGACUUGGCGCGGCGCCUUGGUGGCUUUGGUUGCUCUUCCACGCUCCCGGCAGCUGACCAGAAUCUCUUGGAGGGUCUCCUGGGCCACCUCGGCCGCGCCAGUCGUGCAGUGAGACUUCUGUAGUUUUAAAAUGCCACAGUCCACGGCCCGGUCGGCACCGCUCGCCUGAAUCGUGGGCUUUGGGAACCUUGGAGGCUGCUGCUCCAGGAACUCGCGGUCGGCCGGGAGCCGGGGAGCUUCGUUGCUGGGAGCGGGCGGUAUUCGCGGACUCCGGCGGCCCUGGCGGGUCGCGGCCGGGAUCCGAGCCGGGGAUGACGAUGCUGAUGGAGCUGAUGGGGCAAGAGUGGGAACGGAGGCACGUACACUGAAAUUUAAGUCAUCCAAGUUGGGACUUAAGAUAGCAGGUUAAUAUUGUCUCAGGCGAGACUUAGAACGUCUUUUCUGGUAUCCCAGUCUGCAGUGGGCAAAUCUAUUGUCUUUAUUUCUCAUUUAAGGGCAGAAUGGAGGGAUGACAUAUUUUUACUUUUCAAGAGGCGGUUGCCACUUUUAAGUCACUGUUGUGUGUGUGUGUGUACAUACACAAACAUACGAUAGUGUGUUUUCAGAGCAAGUAUCAAAGGCUAAAGACUUGGAGUGAUACUAGUGUUUAAAAGCCUUUUUAAAAAAAUUAAGAUGUGAUGAGAAACUGGAGAAUUGACUUUUAAAAAUUUCUUUUCUGUAGAAGAGGCUAUCUUCAAAAUGGAGUCCUAAAGUAUAUCUGAUGGAUAGAAUUUAAAUUCUUAACACUGUAUAUACCCUGUGGUCAAAAGCAUCAACGUAAAACUUGAUGUUUAUCAGAUUACUUAUGUUUCAAUUUUCCUGUGGUUAGAAAAAUUAAGACAGAAGUAAGCUAUUAACGGUAUUUGCUUGUAAGAGUAACGUUAAAGGUUUAAGGAAAGGUUUGUUGAAAUCGAUAUGCAUCACACGAAUCAUUUAUUUUCAAUGUUGUUUUCCAGUUGCAGCAAUCAUUUGUGUUUACAUGACUUUGAAAAAGGGUUUAGUUUAUGUUGAUUUUGACCCUCUUAUUUAAUCUCUAGUGCAGAAGUGCAGCUUUCUGCAGGCUGCGCCUCAAUCGCUAAGUUCCACUCUCCAUCCUCUGCCGCGCUACUCCUGGCAUGUGGAUCACCAAGAUACAAUUUCUGGUCCUGUCUGUUCUUAUUGAUGUCCUUUACAGUUAAUAAAUUUGAUUGCCACUAAUCAGUCUGUAUCUCUUGCAAAAACACCACAUUUAGCAUCCAAGUAGAGUCAGAGUAUGUUUUUUAUGAGAUUGUACUAAAGUAACCUUCUAUUACAUUUCUUAUUACCAUAUUGCAUUUCCUAUAGUGGGCAGCAUAGAGCAGGUGGAUCCUGACAAAGUAAUGUUAGAGAUGUGCUGACAGCUUUACAAUAGAUAUUCUCCAACUAAUUUGACAAGAUAUAAAAUAAAAUGUAGUUCGUAGUUUUCAAGCAUUAAUGGAAAGUGUUCCUAUUAAAAAAUUACCAAUAACAGUGGAAAUUGUUGC
rnacentral:lncRNA from 1 species